rnacentral:rRNA from 1 species
CCUACGGGAGGCAGCAGUGGGGGAUAUUGGACAAUGGGGGAAACCCUGAUCCAGCGAUGCCGCGUGAGGGAAGAAGGUUUUCGGAUUGUAAACCUCUGUGGAGGGGGACGAUAAUGACGGUACCCCUUUAGGAAGCCACGGCUAACUACGUGCCAGCAGCCGCGGUAAUACGUAGGUGGCGAGCGUUGUCCGGAUUUAUUGGGUUUAAAGGGUGCGUAGGCGGACGCUUAAGUCAGCGGUAAAAUUGCGGGGCUCAACCUCGUCGAGCCGUUGAAACUGGGUGCCUUGAGUGGGCGAGAAGUACG